UGAAUACGAGACGCUAAGGCGUCGAAGUAGUGUAUGUCAUACUUCCAAGAAAAGCUUGCACUGUCAUAGAUAAAAAACGCCUGUACCAUAACCGACACAGGUGGGUAGGUAGAGUAUACUAAGGGGCGCGAGAUAACUCUCUCUAAGGAACUCGGCAAAAUAACUCCAUAACUUCGGGAGAAGGAGUGCCUUAUUCGUAAGGUUGCAAUAACAAGAUCCAAGCAACUGUUUAUCAAAAACACAGGUCUCCGCUAAGUCGUAAGACGAUGUAUGGGGGCUGACGCCUGCCCAGUGCCAGAAGGUUAAAGAAGUUGGUUAGCAAUUGAGAAGCUGAUAACUGAAGCCCUGGUGAACGGCGGCCGUAACAAUAACGGUCCUAAGGUAGCGAAAUUCCUUGUCGGGUAAGUUCCGACCCGCACGAAAGGCGUAAUGAUUUGGAUACUGUCUCGGAGAGGGGCUCGGUGAAAUAGACUUGUCUGUGAAGAUGCGGACUACCUGCACCAGGACAGAAAGACCCUAUGAAGCUUUACUGUAACUUGAAAUCGAAAUUGGACUUUAUUCGCGCAGUAUAGGUGGGAGGCGUUGAUUAUAAUCUUGUGGGAUUAUUGGAGCCAUCAGUGAGAUACCACUCUUGUAAUGUUAGAUUUCUAACUUUGAAUCAUUAUCUGGUCAAAGAACAGUUUCAGGCGGGCAGUUUGACUGGGGCGGUCGCCUCCUAAACGGUAACGGAGGCGUACAAAGGUUUCCUCUGAACGGUUAGAAAUCGUAUCUAGAGUGUAAAGGCAUAAGGAAGCUUGACUGUGAGACCUACAAGUCGAGCAGGGACGAAAGUCGGUCUUAGUGAUCUGACGGUACUGAGUGGAAAGGCCGUCACUCAACGGAUAAAAGUUACUCUAGGAUAACAGGCUGAUCUCCCCCAAGAGUUCACAUCGACGGGGAGGUUUGGCACCUCGAUGUCGGCUCAUCGCAUCCUGGGGCGGUAGUACGUCCCAAGGGUUGGGCUGUUCGCCCAUGAAAGCGGUACGCGAGCUGGGUUCAGAACGUCGUGAGACAGUUCGGUCCAUAUCCGGUGUAGGCGUUAGAAUAUUGAGAGGAGCCUUCUUUAGUACGAGAGGACCGAGAAGGACAUACCUCUGGUGUACCAGUUAUCGUGCCAACGGUAAACGCUGGGUAGCUAUGUAUGGAGUGGAUAACCGCUGAAAGCAUCUAAGUGGGAAGCCCACCUCAAGAUAAGUAUUCUCAU
rnacentral:rRNA from 1 species